AGAGUUUGAUCAUGGCUCAGAGCGAACGCUGGCGGCGUGCUUAACACAUGCAAGUCGAGUGCGCGCCCGUAGCAAUACGGGUGGCGCACGGCGCACGGGUGCGUAACACGUGGGCAACCUGCCCUUGGAUGGGGAAUAACCCCGCGAAAGCGGGGCUAAUACCGCAUAACACUCCGGGAACCGUGGUUCCUGGAUUCAAAGUCGUAAGACGUCCGAGGAGGGGCCCGCGCCCGAUUAGCUAGUUGGUGGGGUAACGGCUCACCAAGGCUAUGAUCGGUAGCCGGUCUGAGAGGAUGGCCGGCCACACUGGAACUGAGACACGGUCCAGACUCCUACGGGAGGCAGCAGUGGGGAAUCUUGCGCAAUGGCCGAAAGGCUGACGCAGCGACGCCGCGUGGGGGAGGAAGGCCUUCGGGUUGUAAACCCCUGUUGCCCGGGACGAAAGCGCUCUAUAGGGGGCGUUGACGGUACCGGGUGAGGAAGCACCGGCUAACUCCGUGCCAGCCGCCGCGGUAAUAC
rnacentral:rRNA from 1 species